CCAAUAGCGUAUAUUAAAGUUGUUGCAGUUAAAAGCUCGUAGUUGAAUUUCGGGGUUCAUACGUUGGUCGGGCUAUUUGGUCUGUACUUAUGUAAUGGAUUCCUACCUUCUGAAUAACCGGCAUGCCAUUAAUUUGGUGCGCCGGGGAAGCAGGACUGUUACCUUGAAAAAAUUAGAGUGCUUAAAGCAGGCUAUCGCCUGAAUACAUUAGCAUGGAAUAAUGAAAUAGGACGUCAUGGUUCUAUUUUGUUGGUUUCUAGGAUCACCGUAAUGAUUAAUAGGGAUAGUUGGGGGCAUUAGUAUUCAAUUGUCAGAGGUGAAAUUCUUGGAUUUAUUGAAGACUAACUUCUGCGAAAGCAUUUGCCAAGGAUGUUUUCAUUAAUCAAGAACGAAAGUUAGGGGAUCGAAGACGAUCAGAUACCGUCGUAGUCUUAACCAUAAACUAUGCCGACUAGGGAUCGGACGAUGUUAAUUUUUUAAUGACUCGUUCGGCGCCUUACG
rnacentral:misc_RNA from 1 species